rnacentral:rRNA from 1 species
AGGGAAUCUUCGGCAAUGGGGGGAACCCUGACCGAGCAACGCCGCGUGAGUGAAGAAGGUUUUCGGAUCGUAAAGCUCUGUUGUAAGAGAAGAACGAGUGUAAGAGUGGAAAGUUCACACUGUGACGGUAUCUUACCAGAAAGGGACGGCUAACUACGUGCCAGCAGCCGCGGUAAUACGUAGGUCCCGAGCGUUAUCCGGAUUUAUUGGGCGUAAAGCGAGCGCAGGCGGUUAGAUAAGUCUGAAGUUAAAGGCUGUGGCUUAACCAUAGUACGCUUUGGAAACUGUUUAACUUGAGUGCAAGAGGGGAGAGUGGAAUUCCAUGUGUAGCGGUGAAAUGCGUAGAUAUAUGGAGGAACACCGGUGGCGAAAGCGGCUCUCUGGCUUGUAACUGACGCUGAGGCUCGAAAGCGUGGGGAGCAAACAGGAUUAGAUACCCUGGUAGUCCACGCCGUAAACGAUGAGUGCUAGGUGUUAGACCCUUUCCGGGGUUUAGUGCCGCAGCUAACGCAUUAAGCACUCCGCCUGGGGAGUACGACCGCAAGGUUG